AGAGUUUGAUCAUGGCUCAGGACGAACGCUGGCGGCGUGCUUAACACAUGCAAGUCGAACGAAGAACCUUCCUUCGGGAGGGGGACGAGUGGCGAACGGGUGAGUAACACGUGGGCAACCUGCCCCUCGCUCUGGGAUAACCCCGGGAAACCGGGGCUAAUACCAGAUAUUCAGCUCCGCAGGCAUCUGUGGAGUUGGAAAGGAUUCUGGCGAGGGAUGGGCCCGCGGCCUAUCAGCUUGUUGGUGGGGUAAUGGCCUACCAAGGCGACGACGGGUAACCGGCCUGAGAGGGCGACCGGUCACACUGGGACUGAGACACGGCCCAGACUCCUACGGGAGGCAGCAGUGGGGAAUGUUGCGCAAUGGGCGAAAGCCUGACGCAGCAACGCCGCGUGAGGGAUGAAGUACGUCGAGAUGUAAACCUCUUUCAGCAGGGACGAAGCGAAAGUGACGGUACCUGCAGAAGAAGCGCCGGCUAACUACGUGCCAGCAGCCGCGGUAAUACGUAGGGCGCAAGCGUUGUCCGGAUUUAUUGGGCGUAAAGGGCUCGUAGGCGGUCUGUCACGUCGGAUGUGAAAACUCAGUGCUUAACACUGGGCCUGCAUUCGAUACGGGCAGACUAGAGUUCGGUAGGGGAGACUGGAACUCCUGGUGUAGCGGUGGAAUGCGCAGAUAUCAGGAAGAACACCGAUGGCGAAGGCAGGUCUCUGGGCCGAUACUGACGCUGAGGAGCGAAAGCGUGGGGAGCGAACAGGAUUAGAUACCCCGGUAGU
rnacentral:rRNA from 1 species